rnacentral:rRNA from 1 species
ACGUAGGGGCCGAGCGUUGUUCGGAGUUACUGGGCGUAAAGCGCGCGCAGGCGGCCACGCGCGCCCGGCGUGAAAGCCCCCGGCUCAACCGGGGAGGGUCGUCGGGGACGGCGUGGCUUGAGGGCGGUAGGGGCCGGUGGAAUCCCUGGUGUAGUGGUGAAAUGCGUAGAGAUCAGGGGGAACACCCGUGGCGAAGGCGGCCGGCUGGGCCGACCCUGACGCUGAGGCGCGAAGGCGUGGGGAGCGAACGGGA